UGGGGAAUAUUGGACAAUGGGCGAAAGCCUGAUCCAGCAAUGCCGCGUGUGUGAAGAAGGCCUUCGGGUUGUAAAGCACUUUAAGUUGGGAAGAAAAAAGCUCUGGCUAAUAUCUAGAGCCUUGACGGUACCAACAGAAUAAGCACCGGCUAACUCUGUGCCAGCAGCCGCGGUAAUACAGAGGGUGCUAGCGUUAAUCGGAUUUACUGGGCGUAAAGCGUGCGUAGGCGGUUUGAUAAGUCGAUUGUGAAAGCCCCGGGCUUAACCUGGGAAUUGCAGUUGAUACUGUCAGACUAGAAAACGGUAGAGGGAGGCGGAACUCCAGGUGUAGCGGUGAAAUGCGUAGAUAUCUGGAAGAACACCGAUGGCGAAGGCAACCUCCUGGGCCUGUUUUGACGCUGAGGCACGAAAGCGUGGGUAGCAAACAGGAUUAGAUACCCUGGUAGUCCACGCCGUAAAACGUGAGAACUUGACGUUGGUUGCUUAGCAAAUCGGUGUCGUAGCUAAACGCGAUAAGUUCUCCGCCUGGGGAGUACGGACCGCAAGGUUGAAACUCAAAUGAAUUGACGGGGGUCAUAGCUGUUUUCCU
rnacentral:rRNA from 1 species